GGAUAACCUACCCUUAGGACCGGGAUAACCCUGGGAAACUGGGGAUAAUACUGGAUAGGCAAUUUUUCCUGUAAUGGUUUUUUGUUUAAAUGUUUUUUCGCCUAAGGAUGGGUCUGCGGCCGAUUAGGUAGUUGGUUAGGUAAUGGCUUACCAAGCCGUUGAUCGGUACGGGUUGUGAGAGCAAGAGCCCGGAGAUGGAACCUGAGACAAGGUUCCAGGCCCUACGGGGCGCAGCAGGCGCGAAACCUCCGCAAUGUGAGAAAUCGCGACGGGGGGAUCCCAAGUGCCAUUCUUAACGGGAUGGCUUUUCAUUAGUGUAAAGAGCUUUUGGAAUAAGGGCUGGGCAAGACCGGUGCCAGCCGCCGCGGUAACACCGGCAGCUCUAGUGGUAGCAGUUUUUAUUGGGCCUAAAGCGUCCGUAGCCGGUUUAAUAAGUCUCUGGUGAAAUCCUGUAGCUUAACUGUGGGAAUUGCUGGAGAUACUAUUAGACUUGAGAUCGGGAGAGGUUAGAGGUACUCCCAGGGUAGAGGUGAAAUUCUGUAAUCCUGGGAGGACCGCCUGUUGCGAAGGCGUCUAACUGGAACGAUUCUGACGGUGAGGGACGAAAGUUAGGGGCGCGAACCGGAUUAGAUACCCGGGUAGUCCUAACUGUAAACGAUGCGGACUUGGUGUUGGGGUGGCUUUGAGCUGCUCCAGUGCCGAAGGGAAGCUGUUAAGUCCGCCGCCUGGGAGGUACGGUCGCAAGACUGAAACUUAA
rnacentral:rRNA from 1 species